UCCUAACUAGGCCAUUACCCAGUUGGCUAAG
rnacentral:piRNA from 1 species